rnacentral:rRNA from 1 species
GAUCAUUUUUGUGAGGUUUAUACUUCAUUUUUGGGUACAUUUUUUUUAUAAAAAAAGUGCCAAAAUUUACUUUUUUGGGUACAUUUUAGCAAAAAAGUGCCAAACUUGUCUUUCAAGUCUUCAUAAUGGACGACUUGGCUCUUGUAUCGAUGAAGAACGCAGUGAAAGGCGAAACGUAAUGUGAAUCGCAACUAACAGUGAAUCAUCGAAUCUUUGAACGCAGGCCGCGCCUUGCAUAUCACUCGUGUUAUCGCAAGGCAUCUACGUAUGAGUGUCAGCCCAAUAUCCUUUUGGUUUAAUGGUAAUAUUAUAUACCAUUGAAUACAUUAGGCGAAUAUCAAAUUUUAUUUGAUAUACGCGUUUAACGAUAAUGUGUCUGGCCUCAUAUGUGGAAGGUUACCCGCUGGAUUUAAGCAUAUUAAUAAG